rnacentral:rRNA from 1 species
CGACGCGUUAGCCCAAUUGAUUGAUGGUGCUUGCACCUGAUUGAUUUUGGUUGCCAACGAGUGGCGGACGGGUGAGUAACACGUAGGUAACCUGCCCAAAAGCGGGGGACAACAUUUGGAAACAGAUGCUAAUACCGCAUAACAGCGUUGUUCGCAUGAACAACGCUUAAAAGAUGGCUUCUCGCUAUCACUUCUGGAUGGACCUGCGGUGCAUUAGCUUGUUGGUGGGGUAACGGCCUACCAAGGCGAUGAUGCAUAGCCGAGUUGAGAGACUGAUCGGCCACAAUGGGACUGAGACACGGCCCAUACUCCUACGGGAGGCAGCAGUAGGGAAUCUUCCACAAUGGGCGCAAGCCUGAUGGAGCAACACCGCGUGAGUGAAGUAGGGUUUCGGCUCGUAAAGCUCUGUUGUUAAAGAAGAACACGUAUGAGAGUAACUGUUCAUACGUUGACGGUAUUUAACCAGAAAGUCACGGCUAACUACGUGCCAGCAGCCGCGGUAAUACGUAGGUGGCAAGCGUUAUCCGGAUUUAUUGGGCGUAAAGAGAGUGCAGGCGGUUUUCUAAGUCUGAUGUGAAAGCCUUCGGCUUAACCGGAGAAGUGCAUCGGAAACUGGAUAACUUGAGUGCAGAAGAGGGUAGUGGAACUCCAUGUGUAGCGGUGGAAUGCGUAGAUAUAUGGAAGAACACCAGUGGCGAAGGCGGCUACCUGGUCUGCAACUGACGCUGAGACUCGAAAGCAUGGGUAGCGAACAGGAUUAGAUACCCUGGUAGUCCAUGCCGUAAACGAUGAGUGCUAGGUGUUGGAGGGUUUCCGCCCUUCAGUGCCGCAGCUAACGCAUUAAGCAUUCCG